AUGCAGUCGAACGGCAGCACGGGAGCAAUCCUGGUGGCGAGUGGCGAACGGGUGAGUAAUAUAUCGGAACGUGCCCAGUCGUGGGGGAUAACGUAGCGAAAGCUACGCUAAUACCGCAUACGAUCUACGGAUGAAAGCGGGGGACUCGUAAGGGCCUCGCGCGAUUGGAGCGGCCGAUAUCAGAUUAGGUUGUUGGUGAGGUAAAAGCUCACCAAGCCUGCGAUCUGUAGCUGGUCUGAGAGGACGACCAGCCACACUGGAACUGAGACACGGUCCAGACUCCUACGGGAGGCAGCAGUGGGGAAUUUUGGACAAUGGACGCAAGUCUGAUCCAGCAAUGCCGCGUGCAGGACGAAGGCCUUCGGGUUGUAAACUGCUUUUGUACGGAACGAAACGGUCUUCUUUAAUACAGAGGGCUAAUGACGGUACCGUAAGAAUAAGCACCGGCUAACUACGUGCCAGCAGCCGCGGUAAUACGUAAGGUGCGAGCGUUAAUCGGAAUUACUGGGCGUAAAGCGUGCGCAGGCGGUUAUAUAAGUCAGAUGUGAAAUCCCCGGGCUCAACCUGGGACCUGCAUUUGAGACUGUAUAGCUAGAGUACGGUAGAGGGGGAUGGAAUUCCGCGUGUAGCAGUAAAAUGCGUAGAGAUGUGGAGGAAUCCGAUGGCGAAGGCAGCCCCUGGGCUACACUGACGCUCAUGCACGAAGCGUGGGAGCAACAGGAU
rnacentral:rRNA from 1 species